GGGCUUCUUCUCCUUUUGUUUUUACACGAAUAUUGGUUGUAAAACACACACACACAGAGAUUGAAUACAAAAAAAGGGGAGAGACGGUAUCAAAAAAGAAAUCAAUACAAAAAAGGUUUUCUUUUUUUUCCUCUUUUCGGUUCUGUUCCUUUUCCGAUUGCUUUUUCUUUUUUUUUUUCUGUUUGCUAGUAAUCAUAUAUAUAAGCAUA
rnacentral:lncRNA from 1 species